UCCAGUCCAUGUCCACAUACUCCUCUUCCAGAAUUCAGCAUAUGGUUAGCUUCCAAGCAAUCCAACCAUAAAUACCCAUCCAUGUUCUCAUGUUCUCCCAUCCCUUGCCCAAACUGCAACUCCUACACACUCAAAGUGAGAACCAUAUUUAUAUGUAUAUAUACAUAUAUUAUAUAUAAUAUCUAGUCGCAUCUCGUCUCUUGCACACACCACGAGUCAGAUCCGUUUAUCCUGCUGCUUUGCCUCGUAUCAACCCCAAUGGUCCACGCAGCCACUCCAUUAUUGUAUACAGUUUCUUUCUGAGUCAACUAGUCCUCUCUAUCUCUCUCUCUAGCUCACAUCUCCUGUGAGAACUGAGAAGUGAGAGCAUCACGUUUGACCUUGCCUGGUAGCAGCCCAAGGGUACGGAGCACACAUAGGCAUGAGGUUUCGCAGAGGCAAGAGCUCCAACGAGGCCAAGAAGGGCUCCGCUGCUCCAUGGCAGAAUGGAGAGAGGAAGGUCGUCGUUGAUGGAGGAGGAGCUGGCUCCAACAGCAGGCAGGUGGCGCCGGACACCGGCUUCGGAAAUGUUGACGACGGACAACCACAAUCAAAUCUGAUAGAACACUAUACCAUCUCCCAACCAGAUAAUUGCAUACAGAUGUUGAUGCCAAAAAGACAUCCGGUCCCAUAUCAACGGAAGGAAACCCAUCAGAGCAUCUUCAGCAGUCCAACUAUCAUAUCGGAAGAGUAGAUAAGAAACUACUGCUCCAGAAGUCUUCCAAAACUUUUCUCUUUUCCCAAUAAUUAUUGGGACAUCUCUGCAAUUCACCCCACCUCUCCCUAAAUAAAGAGGUGAGUUGUGACUCUCCCAAUAAAAUAGUUGGAUUGAGAGAAGGUUAUUGGGAACUGCAAAAGCAACUCUUCCAAUAAUCCUAAAACUAUUAUUAGAAUAUAUCACAAUACCAAUUAUUUGGAAAAAAUUAUUGAGGGACUGCUAGAGAUGCUCUCACCAUGCUAUCCUUUUGGGGCAGAUGAAAUGUUGACAUUCCUCUGCAUCUCUUGAUGAUGCUGGAGAAGAAGUGGCGGAAACAUGCGCAUCCUCCUUUAUUAGGGGGAAGCAGAAAAAGAAAAGGGCCUCCGCAAAUUUGUGCGCGAUUAUCUCCCUUGCAGUUGAAACAAUUCUCAUUACUAAACAUGAUCGUGCUUUUACGCCUGGACCACACCGUGAUCAUGACUUGGUUGCCUGCCGUUUUCCACGGUUGAACUAGUGAUCAUACUGUUCCGUUCUCUGUCACUGUCAUGGUUAUUAUGUCCAAACUCCAAACUGAGCUGUGAUGAUGGUCUUAUUAGUUGCCUGACUGGGUUUUGCAGGUAGCAGCAGAGAUGAAACAUUCUUUGAAGCCACCCCUUGGUUGGAAUCAGAUUGCGAGGAUGAUUUCUACAGCGUCAAUGGAGAUCUGACCCCUGCAAGAUCACUCACGUCGCAAACCAGCCGGGUCGCGCCGUGUGCAGCCGCCAAGGAUCU